AUGAUGAGCCCAAGGCGGCUAAAGCAAUAUCUUCCCCAUCCAGGAGCUCCAAAUAUGUGUCUCCGCAUGAAGGAUCCAGACCAUGGUCAUUGGAGUUUGAACAUGACACUGUUGAUGGAGAGAAGAAGAGAUGCCUCACGUACAAUAUCGAUUGGGUUGAUGCUGUUGCCUCCCUCCCUUAUACAUGUUUGUUUCGACAUGAGCCACAUAUAUUAUGAUUUACCUGACAUGAAUUCUAUUUAUCAUGUAAAAUGUACAAUAAAAUUACGAGUUUUAAGUGUUGCUUGCUUUUCAACACCUAUUUAG
rnacentral:rRNA from 1 species